UGAGCAAUCUGCCCUUCUCAUCGGAAUAACCAUUGGAAACGAUGGCUAAUGCCGAAUAUGACCUCGGAUCACAUGUUCUGAGGUGGAAAGCUCCGGCGGAGAAGGAUGAGCUCGCGGCCUAUCAGCUUGUCGGUGAGGUAAUGGCUCACCAAGGCAUUGACGGGUAGCCGGCCUGAGAGGGUGACCGGCCACACUGGGACUGAGACACCGGCAGA
rnacentral:rRNA from 1 species